rnacentral:other from 1 species
AUUGGCCUUUGAUUUUCUGUUUAUAAUUUUUUGUCCUACAAGAAUAAAAGUUAUGGGAGUUCAGCAUUUUUAGUAGUUAAGUAUAUCGACGUACCGAAAGGUAAUCGAAAACGGAUACUAUUAAACGAGAACACCCACCUGGUAUAAAAACUGGGCAAACAAUUUUCAGAAAAUUGAGGGCUUUCU